AGUGAACGCUGGCGGUAGGCCUAACACAUGCAAGUCGAACGGCAGCACAGUAAGAGCUUGCUCUUACGGGUGGCGAGUGGCGGACGGGUGAGGAAUACAUCGGAAUCUACUUUUUCGUGGGGGAUAACGUAGGGAAACUUACGCUAAUACCGCAUACGGCCUACGGGUGAAAGCAGGGGAUCUUCGGACCUUGCGCGAUUGAAUGAGCCGAUGUCGGAUUAGCUAGUUGGCGGGGUAAAGGCCCACCAAGGCGACGAUCCGUAGCUGGUCUGAGAGGAUGAUCAGCCACACUGGAACUGAGCCACGGUCCAGACUCCUACGGGAGGCAGCAGUGGGGAAUAUUGGACAAUGGGCGCAAGCCUGAUCCAGCCAUACCGCGUGGGUGAAGAAGGCCUUCGGGUUGUAAAGCCCUUUUGUUGGGAAAGAAAAGCAGCAGGUUAAUACCCCGCUGUUCUGACGGUACCCAAAGAAUAAGCACCGGCUAACUUCGUG
rnacentral:rRNA from 1 species